GCUCAGGAUGAACGCUAGCUACAGGCUUAACACAUGCAAGUCGAGGGGUAGCAGGGUAGCAAUACCGCUGACGACCGGCGCACGGGUGAGUAACACGUAUCCAACCUUCCCAUAACUCGGGGAUAGCCUUUCGAAAGAAAGAUUAAUACCCGAUAGUACUUUUCCAAGGCAUCUUGAAAAAGUUAAAGAUUUAUUGGUUAUGGAUGGGGAUGCGUUCCAUUAGAUAGUUGGUGAGGUAACGGCUCACCAAGUCUUCGAUGGAUAGGGGUUCUGAGAGGAAGGUCCCCCACAUUGGUACUGAGACACGGACCAAACUCCUACGGGAGGCAGCAGUGAGGAAUAUUGGUCAAUGGGCGAGAGCCUGAACCAGCCA
rnacentral:rRNA from 1 species